rnacentral:rRNA from 1 species
AUUGAACGCUGGCGGCAGGCCUAACACAUGCAAGUCGAGCGGAUGAAGGGAGCUUGCUCCUGGAUUCAGCGGCGGACGGGUGAGUAAUGCCUAGGAAUCUGCCUGGUAGUGGGGGAUAACGUCCGGAAACGGGCGCUAAUACCGCAUACGUCCUGAGGGAGAAAGUGGGGGAUCUUCGGACCUCACGCUAUCAGAUGAGCCUAGGUCGGAUUAGCUAGUUGGUGGGGUAAAGGCCUACCAAGGCGACGAUCCGUAACUGGUCUGAGAGGAUGAUCAGUCACACUGGAACUGAGACACGGUCCAGACUCCUACGGGAGGCAGCAGUGGGGAAUAUUGGACAAAGGGCGAAAGCCUGAUCCAGCCAUGCCGCGUGUGUGAAGAAGGUCUUCGGAUUGUAAAGCACUUUAAGUUGGGAGGAAGGGCAGUAAGUUAAUACCUUGCUGUUUUGACGUUACCAACAGAAUAAGCACCGGCUAGCUUCGUG